rnacentral:misc_RNA from 1 species
AACCUUAUGGACCUGCGGGCGUAUACCUGCGGAAGGAUCAUUACCGAGUUAGGGUGUCUGUUCGCAGCGCCCGACCUCCCAACCCUUUGUCUAUGAUACCUAAACAGUUGCUUCGGCGUGCCGAGGGGUCGUACCCUCGCCGGGCCUCACGGCCGGGAGCGCGCACGUCGACGGCCUUUAUCUAACACUUGAACCCAAAACCUGUCGUCUGAAAACUUGUGAUUAACCAAUAAUCAAAAA